rnacentral:rRNA from 1 species
GGUCAAGUUAUUAAGGGUGCAGGGCGGAUGCCUUGGCACUAGGAGCCGAUGAAGGACGUGAUAAGCUGCGAUAAGCUUCGGGGAGUUGCACGUAAACUUUGAUCCGAAGAUUUCCGAAUGAGGAAACUCACUUAGAGUAAUGUCUAAGUAUCAUUAAGUGAAUACAUAGCUUAAUGAGGGGAACUCAGGGAACUGAAACAUCUAAGUACCUGAAGGAAGAGAAAGAAAUUCGAUUCCGUAAGUAGCGGCGAGCGAACGCGGAUUAGCCCAAACCAAUAAAGUUUUCUUUAUUGGGGUUGCGGACAUAUCAUAACGAAGAGGUAUCGUAAUUGAAGAGGUUUGGAAAGACCCACCACAGAAGGUAAUAGUCCUGUAUGUUAAACGAGAAGACUUUAGAUAUGAUCCAGAGUACCACGGGACACGUGAAACCCUGUGGGAAGCAGGAGGGACCACCCUCCAAGGCUAAAUACUACCUAGUGACCGAUAGCGUAUAGUACCGUGAGGGAAAGGUGAAAAGAACCCCGGGAGGGGAGUGAAAUAGAACCUGAAACCCUGCACUUACAAGCUGUGGAAGCACAUUUCUUGUGUGACCGCGUACUUUUUGUAGAACGGGCCAACGAGUUACGUUAAGUAGCAAGGUUAAGCACUUAAGGUGCGGAGCCGUAGCGAAAGCGAGUUUUAACUGAGCGUUCAGUUACUUGACGUAGACCCGAAACCGGGCGACCUACCCAUGAGCAGGAUGAAGCGAAAGUAAAAUUUCGUGGAGGUCCGAACCCACGAGCGUUGAAAAGCUCGGGGAUGACUUGUGGGUAGCGGUGAAAUUCCAAUCGAGCCCGGAGAUAGCUGGUUCUCCCCGAAAUAGCUUUAGGGCUAGCCUCAAGGUGAGAGAUACGGAGGUAGAGCACUGAAUGUCCUAGGGGGUAUUGCACCUACCGAAGACUAUCAAACUCCGAAUGCCGUCAUCUUAUACUUGGGAGUCAGACUGUGGGUGAUAAGAUUCAUAGUCGAAAGGGCAACAGCCCAGAUCGUCAGCUAAGGUCCCUAAAUGUAAGUUAAGUGGUAAAGGAUGUGGGAUUGCACAGACAACCAGGAUGUUGGCUUAGAAGCAGCCACUCAUUCAAAGAGUGCGUAAUAGCUCACUGGUCGAGUGAUCCUGCGCCGAAGAUUUCCGGGGCUAAAACUUACUACCGAAGCUACGGCAUCAGUAAUGAUGGGUAGGGGAGCUUCCCAUACGGGUUGAAGCAUGACCGUAAGGACAUGUGGACAGUAUGGGAGUGAGAAUGUUGGCAUGAGUAGCGAGAUGUGGGUGAGAAUCCCACAGGCCGUAAACCCAAGGUUUCCAGGGGAAGGUUCGUCCGCCCUGGGUUAGUCGGGACCUAAGCUGAGGCCGAAAGGCGUAGGUGAUGGACAACAGGUUGAUAUUCCUGUACUACCGAUAACCGUUUGAGAGAAGGGAUGACACAGUAGGAUAAGCUAAGCACACUGUUGGUUAUGUGUGCCCAAGCAUUGAGGCAGUCAAAGUAGGCAAAUCCGCUUUGAUAAUGCUGGGAUGUGAUGGGGAGCGAAAUUUAGUAGCGAAGUAGCUGAUUUCACACUGUCAAGAAAAGUCUCUAUCGAGGUUAAAGGUACCCGUACCGCAAACCGACACAGGUGGGUGAGGAGAGUAUCCUAAGGCCAGCGAGAGAACUGUUGUUAAGGAACUCGGCAAAAUGACCCCGUAACUUAGGGAUAAGGGGUGCCACCAUCAGGUGGCCGCAGAGAAUAGGCCCAAGCGACUGUUUACCAAAAACAUAGGUUUCUGCUAAGUCGCAAGACGAUGUAUAGGAGCUGACGCCUGCCCGGUGCUGGAAGGUUAAGGGGAUCUGUUAGAGCAAUCGAAGCAGUGAACUUAAGCCCCAGUAAACGGCGGCCGUAACUAUAACGGUCCUAAGGUAGCGAAAUUCCUUGUCGGGUAAGUUCCGACCCGCACGAAAGGCGUAACGAUUUGGGCCGGUGAAGAUGCCGGAUACCUGCGACAGGACGGAAAGACCCCAUGGAGCUUUACUGUAGCUUGACAUUGGGUCUUGGUACUACAUGUACAGGAUAGGUGGGAGGCUUUGAAACCAGGACGCCAGUUUUGGCGGAGCCAUCCUUGGGAUACCACCCUUGUAGUACUGGGACUCUAACCAUAGGCCAUGAAUCUGGUCUUGGGACACUGUCAGGUGGGCAGUUUGACUGGGGCGGUCGCCUCCCAAAAGGUAACGGAGGCGCUCAAAGGUUCUCUCAGUACGGUCGGAAAUCGUACGUAGAGUGUAAAGGCAAAAGAGAGCUUGAUUGCAAGACAUACAGGUCGAGCAAGGAUGAAAAUCGGACUUAGUGAUCCGGUGGUUCUGCGUGGAAGGGCCAUCGCUCAACGGAUAAAAGCUACCCUGGGGAUAACAGGCUUAUCUCCCCCAAGAGUCCACAUCGACGGGGAGGUUUGGCACCUCGAUGUCGCGAGCUGGGUUCAGAACGUCGUGAGACAGUUCGGUCCCUAUCCGUCGCAGGCGUAGGAAAUUUGAGAAGACCUGUCCUUAGUACGAGAGGACCGGGAUGGACGUACCUCUGGUGUACCAGUUGUCCUGCCAAGGGCAUGGCUGGGUAGCUAUGUACGGAAUGGAUAAGCGCUGAAAGCAUCUAAGCGCGAAGCCAACUUCAAGAUAAGAUUUCCCACCGCAAGGGUAAGACCCCAGAAAGACUAUCUGGUUGAUAGGUCGAAGGUGUAAGUGCAGCAAUGUAUUUAGCUUAUCGAUACUAAUAGGUCGAGGACUUGACCAA